UUUUUGGUCCUUUUCCUGCUCCCCCCCCAAAGUGGGUCCAUCCGCUGUGUUGAAAACAAGAAGAAAUAAUUCAUAACAAUUCCAUUCUGGCUGGAUGGGGUUUGCUGCAUCGUCCGGCCAGAGCCACCGCUUUGCUUUGUCACAUGCCGUGCUCUGAGUUUCUCUCCCUGUAGCAUCACCUCAGCGCUCUCCAGGACUUUGCCAUCCCGUUCUCCAAGCAGAGCCUACGCCUGAGCCCCUGGGGCCGUGGUCCAUGGACUUGCACAGCCACCGUGUUCUGCUGGGCUGCAAAACCAAACCCGCUCGGAAGCGGGGCAGUGAAGGAGUGGAGAGAAGAGGUGUGAUGCCCAAGGAGCGCUGGGGUGUGCAGGGGGAGCACCCCAAGAGCCUCACUUAGGGAAGUCCCAACGAGCCCCUCUGGGCUCGGGGAAUGCUUUGGUCCCAUCUCUUCUUCAACUAAAGGCAAGUAGAGGUGAGGGAGAUGCUUCUCCUGCAGCUGUACCCAUUUGUGCGGCGCUGCCUGCCUCCAGUGCUGCUGCUCAUCAGGGAAAACUGGAAAAUGCACAUUACAGGCAAGGAGCUUUUGUCCAGAAGACUUUGUCCUCCUGCUCGGUGGGGUCGUGCCGUGUGCUCGGGGCACAAGCUUCUUGAGCAGGAAGUGGUGGCUGGUGGCGAUGUCCAGGCUCCGGUUCCAGCAGAGCUCCCCGUGCACUGAGGGAUCGGGAUGCACUGCACAGCCCAGACCUGCGAGCGGUUCCCGUGCGCUGUCCUCGGCAGCGAGGCCCAAUUCCUGCUUUUCCCAGCCUGAGCCACGGGGCUUGGGGGGACUUUGAUCUCCAAGAGGUGCGUGAGGAGCUCGGGUGGCAGAAGGGGCAGCAGCUACAGCCCCAGGACGAGUCAAUCCUUCCAUGGAAACACUUCUCCUUCUGAUCCUUAAUAUUUUGAAUGGGGUUUUCUUGUUGCUUGGGGGGGGGGGGGGAGGGAUAGAGAUGGAUCUCGAUCUUUAUACAUCUGCUAUAAGAUAUUUUUGCAAACAGAGUUGUAUACAGAGAUGUAUUGUGUACAUUGACAUGUAUAUUCUGGAACUUCUAAAAUUUGAAUAUAAAAAAGAAACCCUGAAAAUAUUUAAUGAAUAUCCAAACUGUGAGACCCAACUAAGCAUCCACCACCUUCCUGCUUCCCUUUUCUUUGGACUGUGUUACAGAGUUGUAGUCAAACCUGCCUUUUCCUUUCUUCCUUUUCUUUUUAGAGAUGAUGAAGCUAGGCAAAUUUUGUGCUUUUUGGGUUAAAUAGAAACCAGUUGUAGGUGAUUAAGUAUGAUCUUAACUUAUUGAUACUGUGUUUUCCUUUGUAAUAUUGUACUGUGGAUAAAACUAUAUUGAGCCAUGGAGUUGGAGUUUACAAAAGAGCUUUUCACUUUGCCAAAAUGUUACAGUUUAAAGGCAGCAUAGUCUUCAGCUUUCCUAAUCUUUUCUUAAGAGCUAGUGUCUUUUUUGUACACUGAGAAGCUGAAUGCUGAUUUUGCAACAUAUAAUAAAUUCACUGUAUUGGAAAACAAGCA
ensembl:lncRNA